AAUAUUUACGCUCGUUCAAAUAUUCCCUUUCAUAAGCUUUUUAAGCAUGGGAAAAAUUCUUUUAAGAAUAUCCAAUAGUCCAAUAAAAAUCCAAUCUUCAAACUUAACUACCCACUGGUCGGAACCACCAGAAAAUAAUUAAUGUCAUGUACAUCCAUGCUUAAACUUACUUUCAAAACUCACCGAAUGAACUAAGACCCAUGUACCUCCAAACCACAGACUACCUAAAUCCAUAUCUCUACAAACAGUACAUAUGGAGUAACAAUUCGUAUAA